GCCCUUGGUGGCUCAGAUGGAUAGAGUGACUGCUGUGCAAGCAGGAGAUCCCGGGUUCGAGUCCCGGUCGGGGCA